rnacentral:lncRNA from 1 species
CUGAAGGUGCAGCAGCAAAGCCAGUGGUGGUGCUCAGAAGGGGACAGAGUCUUCCAGAUGGGUCUGACCAGUACUGCCAGGACAAUUCAACCUCUUCCUUCUCCUUAACACCCUCCACAAAGGCAGGGGACCAGGAGGCUGCCUGCGGUGUUCCAAGCAUCCUGCUUCUGAUUUCCCUGGAUCUGAGGGGCUGAAACUCACAGGAGGGGGUGUGAAGAGGGGCCGAGAAGGAGGUACAGGACCUGUGCUGAUUUCUCAUAGAGUCUUCAUCCCAUGUGUACGAUGGCCUCCAACUCACCUCAACUGCAAUUUCCUUGAAGAAUGUUUCCUGAAAUGCAAGUUAAGACAACUCUGAGCACAGUGAGUCAUUCCUUUUUAAUACAGAAUGAAAAAGAAAGUGGGGCCACAAGAAUGGCCACGGGAAG